UUCGUAAAUAAACUUUCGUUCUGUUCGGACGCAACGAACACCCGAAGACCCACCAACCAGUGAACAUACCUCUACUUCUUUUACGUGGUCCACGAGGCUGCUGACAACACGAGAAAAUGUAGACGAGACGGAUUUGGUGCGGAGCGCGACAGUUUACCUGAACCCUACGGGGUCGGUGCUUGAACAAUCCGUACGCAACCAUAAUCUGGUCAGAUUAGAGUUCGAAAUUUCCUCACACAUUUUGAACUAUUUGAGAAGAGCACCUCGAGAUACAGGCAUUAGUUUAGAGCAGACUCGUAGUUUGAGGUCGAGAAUAAAUCGUCAGCACCAUCUUGUCUAAACGAAUACUCUACUACAAGGGCACACGGAACGUUGGAAUUGAGAACAAAAAAUAAGUAUACAGAAUCAAAUAGAACGGGGAAAAGAUACAAAAACAAUAGAAAAACAAAACAAAAGAAGGCUAGGAAGAGAAUGGAUCAUUUUCCUAAAGUGCUCUAGCUUUGCGAAUCGAGAAGCGUCGGGCGAGUCCUUCGCUCGGAUUCGCCACCGAGCUCUCCUCUUCGUCUCGUUACCUUUUUGGGUGCCGUGAUAGUUAAAACACCAUCCGAAGAAAGGCUCGAGGUAAUAUUGAUCACAUCGUGAGAUGGAGGCAAGACGUAUCUCCGUACGAAGUGUCUGCUGAUAAAUCCGUGCUCGUCUUGUCUCUCCUCGUGUUUGGCUUCGACAAUAACGUUGUUACCGACCGUCUUCACCGUGAUCUCCUCCGGUGAGAAUUGUUGAACGUCCAAUAUUACCUGCGCAGAUCAGAGCGAAGCAGUUAAGACAGGUCCAACGGGGAAAACUAUCAUUUUUUAGGAGCACGAUGUUGCGUGUAGUAACCGAUACGAUGUAUCAAAGAGGCCAUAACAGAGAUCCAUACCACUAUUGAAAUAUAUUUCUACCAUCCAAUUCUUGAUUACACACGUUUGUAUUCCGUUAAAUCCGCCCAAAAAAAAGAUACAAAUCAUCUUUUAUUGCGAAAUUUAAGUAUUCAGGCUUUUCACAACACCGAUUAUCGAAAGAGGCUCGCUCAUUUAAAUUACCGCCGCUUUAAGGCAGGCGAAGGCAGCCUUCGCCUGCUAUCGAAAUCUGCAUUUAUAAUUAAUUUGUUAACCAGUCAGUCUGUAUAUCAAGAUAACAAGUUUUCUCCUUCGGAAGACCUUAGGUAUCUGUCUGUUGGAUACACGAGAAAUUUACAACCAUUAGCUAUUUAGCUACCAUACGCACAACCGUUUCUAAAGCCUUCUUUAAUCACUCUAAUAGUACCCGAGAAAGAAAAAACUGUAACUCAGUGGAAGAAAAUAAGUACCUAUCAAAUAGAAGCCGUUCUUCCGGUUAACUCAAAUUGUCCACGCAGUAACUUCUAGUUACAAAGGUCGCCGGAGUUUAUAGAACAUGAAGACACAGUAGGAAAGAAAAAAUAUGUAGGAGUUAAUCCCAGCUUUUUCUACUUUCUACCCGUUGCAAAGUUUUUGCUUAUUUUCCACUCUUGUCCUGUAUUUUUCAUGUAACACCAGUGUUUUGUAAUUUCCAUUCUACUUGAAUGUAACCGUUGAGAACGAGCAAACCGAGAAGAUGUAGCUGAUAAACACAUCUAUCUGGAACAUCGUUUCCUCCCCCAUUUUUUUUUUUUUUUGUUCACUCGUAAGAAAGACGUGCGUGCAAAGUAUACAAGUAGCAGGUGGAAUCAUUUUCUACUAUUGAGCAAAAAGAGAGAAACAGAAUCGUCACGUUGACACACGUGUUUUGUACUUCGAUCAACAAUUUAUCUCGUGGUUAGCAGCUUCACUUUGGAAACAAACAUUAAGUGAAAGAAAGCGAGGGUAAACGCAUCAGUGACAGUAAAGAUAAAGCGAACCGCGGUUCUUCGGGUGAUACUAGCGUGAUCCCAGGACCCGGGGAGCAAUUUUCAAAGUUAGAAAAUAAGGAAUGAACUUGUGCAGAAUGAUACGAAAAACCUUCACUUUCUUUCGUACAUUUCGGGCAAAGUAGCAAGAGACCGUCAAACAAAUUUUAAAUCUCCAGUGCUGCUGCAUAUUGAAUAUAGAGAGAGAGAGAGAGGAGGAGAGAGA